UUAUGUUUUUAAAGUUAUUCCUUCUUUAUUUUUUUAAUCACAGCAAUCCUCCCCUCAUCCAUGGUUUCAUUUUCUAUGGUUCCAGUUACUCAUGGUCAACCAUGGUCAGAAAACAGGACAAACUGAGAGUAAAAGAUGCAGGAAUAAAACACAGAAAUCAAAAUAAAGGGUUUACUGCUGAAAAAUCCGCUUGAACAAGCCUGUUAAUGUGAUCUUCCUGAAUGAAGCCAGCUUACCCCUAGGCCUCCACUGUCCCUCAGGAAAGAGAACACGAAAACUGGAACUCUCUGCAGAAAGGAGGAUCCCAAAGAAGGGGCCAAGCUGUACAUUUAUCAAUCAGGAAAGCCACUCCACCCUCCAUGGCAGCCCCUACAAUUUGAAACAAGUAUUCUUCCUAACAUAACACAUUAAUUCAUGAGUUUAUCAGUUCAUUUCAUUUUUACUUUGAGAUUUUUGUGAAUAACCAUAGAAAAAUCUAUUUCACCUGGCAAUAAAUAGGAAAAGGCACAGCAUAAUGUUUAAAUACAGAGAAUAUUGUUACAUGUAAGAUGUUGAUUGAAUGUUCUAAAUACAAUUUGAAAACUGCGUGAGAGGAGGAAAACGUAUAUUCAGAAGGACUUAGGUGAAUCCAGAUGAAUAUUUUCAUGACAGGAUGUUGGCUAUUGAUAUGAAGAAAGUAGAGGAAUAGACUUGCUAAAAGUUAGAGGAGUCUAGUUUAUCUUCCAAGAAGCUUUGCAACCCUGUAAUACUGUAGAAAUCACAAAUUUGGCAAUAAUUUUAAGAUAAUUUAUGUUCAUUUUUUAUGGAAUGCCAUGUUUAUCUUUUUAUAUAUGACAUUUUCUGGUCAGUAGUAAUAUAUAUAUCCUUUAUUAAAAUUGGAAAAUAAAUACAAACAUUUUAUUUAUUUAUUGGUUAAAAAAUUAUUAUGCUCAUUCUUUUUUUUUUUAACCAGUAAGGAUCUGGAUAAAGAAAAACAUUUUAGAAAACCACUUGUAGAGUACCAUGAACCAGUCUCUCUUCUCCAUUUUAAAAAAUUUAUUGACUCACUUUUUUUCCAUAACUUUUUGAGAUAUUAUUUCAACCACUUUGCAUUUAGAGAAAAAGAGUCAGAGAGUGAUUAAGAAAUCUGCCCAAUGCUAUACUGAUAGAAGCUGGGAGAACUGGGAUUUGAGCUUACAUAGGCUAGUUCUAGCAUUUGUGAAGUUCUCGCCUAAUAAAAAUUAUCUGUAAUCAUAACCAGAGCAAGUCAUUUCUAACCUCCUGUCUAUAGACACGCGGAUACAUUUGUAAUGUUUUUGUUUGUUUGUUUUUAGCACGACAGAUCAAUUCCUGCUGGCAUUAUAGUUCUUUAACUAUCAUAGCUUCUCUGAUUUUUCAACACAUCUGUCAUCCGUAUUCUGCAGGCAUAGCCAACUCUGUCAGUGUCUCCUCAGGCAAUCAGAAUCAACAGACAGAAUGUAGGACAGAAAACUGGCUGCAAACAUGUUGGAAGGGCUGGAGGAGCGAAAGAGGGAAGAUCUGUUACCUAGAGAUAGUAACUUCCAGAAGUUACCACUAUACUAGUGCAGGAGAAGCAGAAAGGAAGAUGCUGCUACCCAGAGCCCACAGUCAUUGUGCCCCUGAUGCCGCUGGAACCCCACUGCAGCUGCUUUACAGGAAGCAGGGAAUUAGCGCUCUUGCUGAUGCUACAGGUAUCCAGGAUCCAAAAGUCAUCAGCCGCUGUCCCUGUUGCAGCCUAGGGAAACUGUCCCACUGAGGUUGUUGGGGUACCUGCUACUGCAUCUACUGUCUGAACCAUGUUGCCUGAGCAGAUGUCCAGGGCUCAGGCUUGCCUGCUGCUGUUACUGCUGCCACCAUGUUUAUCAGAGCUACUUCAAGAAGAGAAGAAAUCCUCCUCAUUUCCAGUUUUUUCCAGUGCCUCCCAUUGCUUCCCAGAAUGCCAAAUUCUCUUUGAGAGACAGCUGAAAGGAAGGUUUGGAAAAGACUCUGGUGUAAGCAGAUUCUGCUUCCCUGCAAUAGGGGGAAAGCAUAGGGUGGAACUGGAGCUGAGAGCUAAUCACGAAUGAGCAAAUCAGUCUUCAAGACAUUUACCUUUCCUUGAAACGUUUCCCUUCUUUUACCGUGUUUUCCAUGUCAUUAUUUUUCCACAAUUCUGCAUCAUAUUCUGUUAACUAUUAAUGCCCUGGAUAAGUUUAUUUGCUCUUUCUUAGGGUUAAUUUUUCUCCUUUUCUUCGAAGCUUUAGUUUGCAGGUUCAGCUUGUGUGGGAAUUUUCAUCUCCCUCCUCUUCAAGACUCCUUGGAUAUCAGUUUUUUGGUUGCCUUCACCAACUCUCCCCCCACCAUCUCUAGACCAGGGCAUGGUCUUAGUUGGUGGCUUGGACUCCUGUGGCUUGGAGUCUUUGGGGAUAUUAGAGAUCCAGUCACUGAGCUGGCAAAGGGAACACUGUCCUUGCUUCCAGCUUUAUGAAGAACGCUUUGCUCUGUCACCCCACGUAAAUAAUCAUGUUAUUCAAGGAUAAUGAAUGCAGCCACCAUGUAAUCAUCACUGACUCCAUGGCAAGUACACUCUGCCUUGUGCUUUAUAUACUUGUCAGGACUCAGAAAUGGGCAAAGAGGAUCACUGGUGUCUUUCAGUGGAGUGCUGGGCAUUAUAGUGGAGUCCUGGAUUAUCUGAUUCCAAGAAUUCACACCUUGACUUUCUAUUGACUAGGUUAUUUUGCAGCUCUGCAGAGGUAGCUGUUAAAUUGUUGAAAACUGCUGACAAUGCAGCAAAUUCUUAUUCAUACCAAAGCAAACAAAUUUUGACUGGUUGAUUAUAAAGCUCUAUAAGUCAAAUUCUCAUUUGAACAGAUCUUACUAUAUUAGUGGUUCCCUCAGUAAUUAAAGAGUUGAAAUAAAAUCUUUGACAUAUGUUUCUUUUAUAACUGUAGAAGGGUCAUAAUUUUACUUUUUUGAAAAUUAUCCUUUAGCAUACAUAGUAUCUUUUAGUCUUCACAACCUGAGAGGUAAGUAUCACUCCC
rnacentral:lncRNA from 1 species